rnacentral:other from 1 species
CGGGUUCUGUCCUGUGCGUUGUUUAUUUUAUCCCUGGGGCGAUAAUCUUUCCGAAGGGAGCUGUCCCUGUCCGGAUCGUGGUCCGGUUAUUACGGCGCCCACCUGUUUAAACAGGUUCCGGAGGAUACAACUGAAUGACGGCAGAUACGGUCCCCGC